UACGUAGGGUGCAAGCGUUAAUCGGAAUUACUGGGCGUAAAGCGUGCGUAGGUGGUUCGUUAAGUCCGUUGUGAAAGCCCCGAGCUCAACUUGGGAAUUGCAGUGGAUACUGGCGAGCUGGAGUGCGGUAGAGGAAGGUGGAAUUCCCGGUGUAGCGGUGAAAUGCGUAGAGAUCGGGAGGAACACCAGUGGCGAAGGCGGCCUUCUGGACCAGCACUGACACUCAAGCACGAAAGCGUGGGGAGCAAACAGG
rnacentral:rRNA from 1 species